AACGAACGCUGGCGGCAUGCCUAACACAUGCAAGUCGAACGAGACCUUCGGGUCUAGUGGCGCACGGGUGCGUAACGCGUGGGAACCUGCCCUUAGGUUCGGAAUAACUCCCCGACAGGGGUGCUAAUACCGGACAAUGUCUUCGGACCAAAGAUUUAUCGCCUUUGGAUGGGCCCGCGUUGGAUUAGCUAGUUGUUAGGGUAAAAGCCUACCAAGGCGACGAUCCAUAGCUGGUCUGAGAGGAUGAUCAGCCACACUGGGACUGAGACACGGCCCAGACUCCUACGGGAGGCAGCAGUGGCGAAUAUUGGACAGUGGGCGAAAGCAUGAUCCAGCAAUGCCGCGUGAGUGAUGAAGGCCUUAGGGUUGUAAAGCUCUUUUACCCGGGAUGAUAAUGACAGUACCGGGAGAAUAAGCUCCGGCUAACUCCGUG
rnacentral:rRNA from 1 species